rnacentral:rRNA from 1 species
UGAUCAUGGCUAAGAUUGAACGCGGCGGCAGGCCUAACACAUGCAAGUCGAACGGUAGCACAGAGAGCUUGCUCUCGGGUGACGAGUGGCGGACGGGUGAGUAAUGUCUGGGAAACUGCCUGAUGGAGGGGGAUAACUACUGGAAACGGUAGCUAAUACCGCAUAACGUCGCAAGACCAAAGAGGGGGACCUUCGGGCCUCUUGCCAUCAGAUGUGCCCAGAUGGGAUUAGCUAGUAGGUGGGGUAACGGCUCACCUAGGCGACGAUCCCUAGCUGGUCUGAGAGGAUGACCAGCCACACUGGAACUGAGACACGGUCCAGACUCCUACGGGAGGCAGCAGUGGGGAAUAUUGCACAAUGGGCGCAAGCCUGAUGCAGCCAUGCCGCGUGUAUGAAGAAGGCCUUCGGGUUGUAAAGUACUUUCAGCGGGGAGGAAGGUGUUGUGGUUAA